rnacentral:rRNA from 1 species
GUCGAGCGGCGGACGGGUGAGUAAUGCCUAGGAAAUUGCCCUGAUGUGGGGGAUAACCAUUGGAAACGAUGGCUAAUACCGCAUAAUGCCUACGGGCCAAAGAGGGGGACCUUCGGGCCUCUCGCGUCAGGAUAUGCCUAGGUGGGAUUAGCUAGUUGGUGAGGUAAUGGCUCACCAAGGCGACGAUCCCUAGCUGGUCUGAGAGGAUGAUCAGCCACACUGGAACUGAGACACGGUCCAGACUCCUACGGGAGGCAGCAGUGGGGAAUAUUGCACAAUGGGCGCAAGCCUGAUGCAGCCAUGCCGCGUGUGUGAAGAAGGCCUUCGGGUUGUAAAGCACUUUCAGUCGUGAGGAAGGUGGUGUAGUUAAUAGCUGCAUUANUUGACGUUAGCGACAGAAGAAGCACCGGCUAACUCCGUGCCAGCAGCCGCGGUAAUACGGAGGGUGCGAGCGUUAAUCGGAAUUACUGGGCGUAAAGCGCAUGCAGGUGGUUUGUUAAGUCAGAUGUGAAAGCCCGGGGCUCAACCUCGGAAUAGCAUUUGAAACUGGCAGACUAGAGUACUGUAGAGGGGGGUAGAAUUUCAGGUGUAGCGGUGAAAUGCGUAGAGAUCUGAAGGAAUACCGGUGGCGAAGGCGGCCCCCUGGACAGAUACUGACACUCAGAUGCGAAAGCGUGGGGAGCAAACAGGAUUAGAUACCCUGGUAGUCCACGCCGUAAACGAUGUCUACUUGGAGGUUGUGGCCUUGAGCCGUGGCUUUCGGAGCUAACGCGUUAAGUAGACCGCCUGGGGAGUACGGUCGCAAGAUUAAAACUCAAAUGAAUUGACGGGGGCCCGCACAAGCGGUGGAGCAUGUGGUUUAAUUCGAUGCAACGCGAAGAACCUUACCUACUCUUGACAUCCAGAGAACUUUCCAGAGAUGGAUUGGUGCCUUCGGGAACUCUGAGACAGGUGCUGCAUGGCUGUCGUCAGCUCGUGUUGUGAAAUGUUGGGUUAAGUCCCGCAACGAGCGCAACCCUUAUCCUUGUUUGCCAGCGAGUAAUGUCGGGAACUCCAGGGAGACUGCCGGUGAUAAACCGGAGGAAGGUGGGGACGACGUCAAGUCAUCAUGGCCCUUACGAGUAGGGCUACACACGUGCUACAAUGGCGCAUACAGAGGGCAGCAAGCUAGCGAUAGUGAGCGAAUCCCAAAAAGUGCGUCGUAGUCCGGAUUGGAGUCUGCAACUCGACUCCAUGAAGUCGGAAUCGCUAGUAAUCGUGGAUCAGAAUGCCACGGUGAAUACGUUCCCGGGCCUUGUACACACCGCCCGUCACACCAUGGGAGUGGGCUGCAAAAGAAGUAGGUAG